GGGUUGUGAGGUUAAGCGACUAAGCGUACACGGUGGAUGCCCUGGCAGUCAGAGGCGAUGAAGGACGUGCUAAUCUGCGAAAAGCGUCGGUAAGGUGAUAUGAACCGUUAUAACCGGCGAUGUCCGAAUGGGGAAACCCAGUGCAAUUCGUUGCACUAUCGUUAACUGAAUACAUAGGUUAACGAGGCGAACCGGGGGAACUGAAACAUCUAAGUACCCCGAGGAAAAGAAAUCAACCGAGAUUCCCCCAGUAGCGGCGAGCGAACGGGGAGCAGCCCAGAGUCUGAAUCAGCUUGUGUGUUAGUGGAACGGUCUGGAAAGUCCGACGGUACAGGGUGAUAGUCCCGUACACCAAAAUGCACAGGCUGUGAACUCGAAGAGUAGGGCGGGACACGUGGUAUCCUGUCUGAAUAUGGGGGGACCAUCCUCCAAGGCUAAAUACUCCUGACUGACCGAUAGUGAACCAGUACCGUGAGGGAAAGGCGAAAAGAACCCCGGCGAGGGGAGUGAAAAAGAACCUGAAACCGUGUACGUACAAGCAGUGGGAGCACCUUCGGGUGUGACUGCGUACCUUUUGUAUAAUGGGUCAGCGACUUAUAUUCUGUAGCAAGGUUAACCGUAUAGGGGAGCCGCAGGGAAACCGAGUCUUAACUGGGCGUUAAGUUGCAGGGUAUAGACCCGAAACCCGGUGAUCUAGCCAUGGGCAGGUUGAAGGUUGGGUAACACUAACUGGAGGACCGAACCGACUAAUGUUGAAAAAUUAGCGGAUGACUUGUGGCUGGGGGUGAAAGGCCAAUCAAACCGGGAGAUAGCUGGUUCUCCCCGAAAGCUAUUUAGGUAGCGCCUCGUGAACUCAUCUUCGGGGGUAGAGCACUGUUUCGGCUAGGGGGUCAUCCCGACUUACCAACCCGAUGCAAACUACGAAUACCGAAGAAUGUUAUCACGGGAGACACACGGCGGGUGCUAACGUCCGUCGUGAAGAGGGAAACAACCCAGACCGCCAGCUAAGGUCCCAAAGUCAUGGUUAAGUGGGAAACGAUGUGGGAAGGCACAGACAGCCAGGAUGUUGGCUUAGAAGCAGCCAUCAUUUAAAGAAAGCGUAAUAGCUCACUGGUCGAGUCGGCCUGCGCGGAAGAUGUAACGGGGCUAAACCAUGCACCGAAGCUGCGGCAGCGACACUAUGUGUUGUUGGGUAGGGGAGCGUUCUGUAAGCCUGCGAAGGUGACCUGUGAGGGUUGCUGGAGGUAUCAGAAGUGCGAAUGCUGACAUAAGUAACGAUAAAGCGGGUGAAAAGCCCGCUCGCCGGAAGACCAAGGGUUCCUGUCCAACGUUAAUCGGGGCAGGGUGAGUCGACCCCUAAGGCGAGGCCGAAAGGCGUAGUCGAUGGGAAACAGGUUAAUAUUCCUGUACUUGGUGUUACUGCGAAGGGGGGACGGAGAAGGCUAUGUUAGCCGGGCGACGGUUGUCCCGGUUUAAGCAUGUAGGCUGAUUGUCCAGGCAAAUCCGGAUAAUCAAGGCUGAGGUGUGAUGACGAGGCACUACGGUGCUGAAGUAACAAAUGCCCUGCUUCCAGGAAAAGCCUCUAAGCAUCAGGUAACAUCAAAUCGUACCCCAAACCGACACAGGUGGUCAGGUAGAGAAUACCAAGGCGCUUGAGAGAACUCGGGUGAAGGAACUAGGCAAAAUGGUGCCGUAACUUCGGGAGAAGGCACGCUGGUGUGUAGGUGAAGUCCCUGCGGAUGGAGCUGAGACCAGUCGAAGAUACCAGCUGGCUGCAACUGUUUAUUAAAAACACAGCACUGUGCAAACACGAAAGUGGACGUAUACGGUGUGACGCCUGCCCGGUGCCGGAAGGUUAAUUGAUGGGGUUAUCCGUAAGGAGAAGCUCUUGAUCGAAGCCCCGGUAAACGGCGGCCGUAACUAUAACGGUCCUAAGGUAGCGAAAUUCCUUGUCGGGUAAGUUCCGACCUGCACGAAUGGCGUAAUGAUGGCCAGGCUGUCUCCACCCGAGACUCAGUGAAAUUGAACUCGCUGUGAAGAUGCAGUGUACCCGCGGCAAGACGGAAAGACCCCGUGAACCUUUACUAUAGCUUGACACUGAACAUUGAGCCUUGAUGUGUAGGAUAGGUGGGAGGCUUUGAAGCGUGGACGCCAGUCUGCGUGGAGCCAACCUUGAAAUACCACCCUUUAAUGUUUGAUGUUCUAACGUUGGCCCCUUACCGGGGUUGCGGACAGUGUCUGGUGGGUAGUUUGACUGGGGCGGUCUCCUCCCAAAGCGUAACGGAGGAGCACGAAGGUUAGCUAAUCCUGGUCGGACAUCAGGAGGUUAGUGCAAUGGCAUAAGCUAGCUUGACUGCGAGCGUGACGGCGCGAGCAGGUGCGAAAGCAGGUCAUAGUGAUCCGGUGGUUCUGAAUGGAAGGGCCAUCGCUCAACGGAUAAAAGGUACUCCGGGGAUAACAGGCUGAUACCGCCCAAGAGUUCAUAUCGACGGCGGUGUUUGGCACCUCGAUGUCGGCUCAUCACAUCCUGGGGCUGAAGUAGGUCCCAAGGGUAUGGCUGUUCGCCAUUUAAAGUGGUACGCGAGCUGGGUUUAGAACGUCGUGAGACAGUUCGGUCCCUAUCUGCCGUGGGCGCUGGAGAAUUGAGGGGGGCUGCUCCUAGUACGAGAGGACCGGAGUGGACGCAUCACUGGUGUUCGGGUUGUCAUGCCAAUGGCACUGCCCGGUAGCUAAAUGCGGAAGAGAUAAGUGCUGAAAGCAUCUAAGCACGAAACUUGCCCCGAGAUGAGUUCUCCCUGAGACUUUAAGUCUCCUGAAGGAACGUUAAAGACGAUGACGUUGAUAGGCCGGGUGUGUAAGCGCAGCGAUGCGUUGAGCUAACCGGUACUAAUGAACCGUGAGGCUUAACCUUACAACGCCGAAG
rnacentral:rRNA from 1 species